AGUGGGAGUAGCCUCUAGGAAAGGCCAGAGUUGGUCAUUCAUCAAACGCCGCGAGCCUCUUGCAGUAAAAACAGUUCCCGUAGCCCCGCCUCACCGCGUUGUAUUGUGGGAGCUGCAGUUCUGGACAGUCAGAGCUUGGAAGGCAUAAGGAGUAUAAAUCCAAUUAAGAAUCUGAGAUGAUGCUGGUUUUGAAAGCAUGACAUGAUCAUAGAGAAUAGUUGAGGCCUGGCACCAUAUGGCAGAGUCAUAAUCCCUGUGGAGAGGCCAAUAGUAAAGAUGCCACCCGACUGCUGUGGAGACUGCAGGAUAUUGGAGAUGCCAGGAACCCAAGGUUAAGAGAUUUUGGACCCUUAAAAAGACAUUCAACUUUUUAAUCACUGGAACUUUUGAAAGACUGUGGCACUUUUGAAGUUCUUUAUUUCAUACUGUUAUAUUAACAUGAGACUUGACGAGGAACGUAAGUGUAUGGUUUAAAGUGAUAUGUCCUUGUGUCAAGUUGACAUCGGCAGCUUUAACUGUCAACUUGACACAGCCUAGAGUCAUCUGAGAGAGGUCUCAACAUCAUCAUAUUCACCAGUAUAUUUUUUUUUUUGGUCUGAUGAAAGCAGAAUGGUGUGUUUCUGUGAUAUGUACUUUAGUUUUAAUGAUUGUUAGGGAAAUUCAGUAUUUUUAUCUUUAUUUUCUUUGUCUGUUCAA